rnacentral:rRNA from 1 species
AGAGUUUGAUCAUGGCUCAGGACGAACGCUGGCGGCGUGCUUAACACAUGCAAGUCGAGCGAUGAGAUCACUUCGGUGAAGGAUUAGCGGCGAACGGGUGAGGAACACGUGAAGAAUCUGCCUUCAACUCUGGGAUAACUCCGGGAAACCGGGGCUAAUACCGGAUAUGAGCCUUGAUCGCAUGAUCGGGGCUGGAAAGUUUUUCGGUUGAAGAUGACUUCGCGGCCUAUCAGCUUGUUGGUGAGGUAAUGGCUCACCAAGGCGACGACGGGUAGCCGGCCUGAGAGGGCGACCGGCCACACUGGGACUGAGACACGGCCCAGACUCCUACGGGAGGCAGCAGUGGGGAAUAUUGGGCAAUGGAGGAAACUCUGACCCAGCGACGCCGCGUGCGGGAUGAAGGCCUUCGGGUUGUAAACCGCUUUCAGCAGGGAAUAAGCGCAAGUGAAGGUACCUGCAGAAGAAGCACCGGCUAACUAUGUGCCAGCAGCCGCGGUAAUACAUAGGGUGCAAGCGUUGUCCGGAAUUAUUGGGCGUAAAGAGCUCGUAGGUGGUUUGUUACGUCGGUUGUGAAAUUCAGGGGCUCAACCCCUGACUUGCAGCCGAUACGGGCAAGCUAGAGUUUGGUAGGGGAGACUGGAAUUCCUGGUGUAGCGGUGGAAUGCGCAGAUAUCAGGAGGAACACCGAUGGCGAAGGCAGGUCUCUGGGCCAAUACUGACACUGAGGAGCGAAAGCGUGGGGAGCGAACAGGAUUAGAUACCCUGGUA